GACGAACGCUGGCGGCGUGCCUAAUACAUGCAAGUAGAACGCUGAAGGAGGAGCUUGCUUCUCUGGAUGAGUUGCGAACGGGUGAGUAACGCGUAGGUAACCUGCCUGGUAGCGGGGGAUAACUAUUGGAAACGAUAGCUAAUACCGCAUAAUAUUGAUUAUUGCAUGAUAGUCAAUUAAAAGGUGCAAUUGCAUCACUACCAGAUGGACCUGCGUUGUAUUAGCUAGUUGGUGAGGUAACGGCUCACCAAGGCGACGAUACAUAGCCGACCUGAGAGGGUGAUCGGCCACACUGGGACUGAGACACGGCCCAGACUCCUACGGGAGGCAGCAGUAGGGAAUCUUCGGCAAUGGACGGAAGUCUGACCGAGCAACGCCGCGUGAGUGAAGAAGGUUUUCGGAUCGUAAAGCUCUGUUGUAAGAGAAGAACGAGUGUGAGAGUGGAAAGUUCAC
rnacentral:rRNA from 1 species